UACAGAGGUCUCAAGCGUUUGUUCGGAUUCAUUGGGCGUAAAGGGUGUGUAGGUGGCGCGCUAAGUCGGGUGUGAAAUUUCGGAGCUUAACUCCGAAACUGCAUUCGAUACUGGCGUGCUUGAGGACUGGAGAGGAGACUGGAAUUCAUGGUGUAGCAGUGAAAUGCGUAGAGAUCAUGAGGAAGACCAGUGGCGAAGGCGAGUUUCUGGACGGUAACUGACGCUGAGGCACGAAGGCCAGGGGAGCAAACGGG
rnacentral:rRNA from 1 species